UUUUUUAAAACUCGAGUAUAAUGAUGUUUAGGGAAACACAUUCUAUAAUCCUGCUAAAGUUUCAUUGAAAUUGGUGAGGACCCUUUCUAAG